UCCUGGCACUGCAGGUCCCCUCUCCCUCCCACCCCUUCAGCAGCUUGGGAUGGGGGGUGGGAGGGAGAGGGGACCUGCAGUGCCAGGAAAACAGAUUGUU